CCUCACCUUUUUGCUAGCCAAUCCGAAUCUCGGGGUCGAGAUUCACCUUAAGGGGGUAGGUUUGUAACAUCCCAAAUUUUCAAUUUCGGAUGUUCACACAUUUUUAUUUCUCAUGCAUAUCACCUUGAUCAUAUCUUAAAAUUUUGGGGUUUCAUUAUGAUGCUUUAUUGAAAGUGUUUAAAUUGGUGUUUUGGAAUGUGUUAGUUUGGCAAAAAUUUAUUUGGGAAUUUUCUAGGAUUUAAAAAUGCAUUCUAGGAUUUGAUUUCGAUUUAUUUGAAGCUUAAAGGCAUUAAAACUAUUUUUAUUAUUUUAUUUUUGGAGUGGGAAUAAGUUUCCUGGACUCUCUAGAUGAAAUCUAUUAUUUUACAGAAUUUUUGGGAAUUUAUUUGAAGCCAUUUGAUAUUUUAAAUGAUUUAAAUUUAUUUUCGGGUGAAUUAUAGAUCCUGAAAAGUACUUUAUACUCUUGUUCUUUUAUUCUUUUCCUUUUUCUCUGAAAGUACGCUUUCCCCGCGAGAAAGCGUAUUCUUAGUGAAUUGCGCUUUCACUUAAAACCCCGAAGGGCUAUCUUCUAAUCUCAUCCACUCAUCUCAGAUCCGACGGCCCCCAUUUGUUCUCCCUUCUCUCUCACUGCUAGGUGGGUCCCGCCUGUCAUCGCCGACCUCUGGCCAAACUCCAACCGCCGCCCGCGCCCACGCCUGCACCCCGCAUGGCAACCGCCCGCCACUUCGCCCACGCGCCCUUGCCCGAGCCGACC
rnacentral:lncRNA from 1 species